rnacentral:sRNA from 1 species
GGAUUCUGAAGCGGAAGGAGAGCUGUCUCCUCCAGCUGGUGGAAACUGCUUCCUAUCCUCCUCCUGGAGAGCCCAACUCCCAGAGCAGAUGGCAGAGGAGACCUUUAGAUGGGGCGGUCACAUGUCCCGGCUGGCCUUAUAACAACUGUCCCAGGCAACUAUUAAUAGAUCCACCUUACACACAUCUGGACUUUCAGAUCUAAAACACCCUGGUUUGGAUGACAGAUUAUAUGGUGAACCUACUUUUAGAGUGUAGUUCAACUCAUUUGUCACAUGGAUGAGAAAAUCAGUCCAUAAAGGGUUUGCUGGGGCCAACACCAGCCUAAGUGGAGAGUAAGUGUCCAGACUCCCAGACCGGCACUUAAAGCCUGGCUGUCACCCAGCCAUCCCCUGUCUCUGUGCUGGAUGGACACCAAACCCCAAGGCGCUCAUCUGUCUUUGUCCCAGCUACUGUCCAGUGCUUCAGAGAUGGCUACUUCGUCCUCGUGGUGUCCCAAGAAAUGGCCUUGACACACAGGAUCACACUGGCCAACAUCCGCCUGGCCUAUGACCCCACCAGCUGCUCCCCAACACAGCACACGGAAGCUUUCGUGGUCUUCUACUUCCCUUUUACCCACUGUGGAACCACAGUGCAGGUAGGAGCUGGGACCACAGGCUGGGACCUGGUCCCCCCUGCCAAGAAAGCCUCACCCAGCUGUCUCUUCCCACAGGUGGCUGGCGACCAGCUCAUCUAUGAGAACUGGCUGGUGUCUGGCAUCCACAUCCAAAAGGGGCCACAGGGUUCCAUCACACGGGACAGCACCUUCCAGCUUCAUGUGCGCUGUGUCUUCAACGCCAGUGACUUCCUGCCCAUUCAGGCGUCCAUUUUCCCACCCCCAUCGCCUGCCCCUGUGACCCAGCCCGGCCCCCUGCGGCUUGAGCUGCGGAUUGCCAAGGACGAGACCUUCAGCUCCUACUAUGGGGAGGAUGACUAUCCCAUCGUGAGGCUGCUCCAAGAACCAGUCCAUGUGGAGGUCCGGCUUCUGCAGAGGACAGACCCCAACCUGGUCCUGCUGCUGCACCAGUGCUGGGGCGCUCCCAGUGCCAACCCCUUCCAGCAGCCCCAGUGGCCCAUCCUGUCAGAUGGGUGAGUGCCCCCAUGCUCCCCCCACCUGCUCUGCCUCCUGUAAACAGCCUCUCUGACUUCUCUUCUCAGAUGCCCUUUCGAGGGCGACAGCUACAGAACCCAGAUGGUAGCCUUGGAUGGGGCCACACCUUUCCAGUCGCACUACCAGCGAUUCACUGUUGCUACCUUCGCCCUCCUGGACUCAGGCUCCCAGAGAGCCCUCAGAGGACCGGUUUACUUGUUCUGCAGCACCUCUGCCUGCCACACCUCAGGGCUGGAGACUUGCUCCACUGCAUGCAGCACUGGCACAAGACAGCGACGAUCCUCAGGUCACCGUAAUGAUACUGCCAGGCCCCAGGACAUUGUGAGCUCUCCGGGGCCAGUGGGCUUUGAGGAUUCUUAUGGGCAGGAGCCCACACUUGGGCCCACAGACUCCAAUGGGAACUCCAGCCUGAGGCCUCUCCUUUGGGUGGUCCUUUCGCUGCCAGCUGUUGCCCUGGUCCUUGGGUUUGGUGUCUUUGUGGGCCUGAGCCAGACCUGGGCCCAGAAGCUCUGGGAAAGCAACAGACAGUGAAUGGGCUCAAUAAACAAUCAUUUCAAACCUACUGAAA